CGAUAUAUAUAUAUUUUUUUUCACUCCCAUAAACCGAAAAAAUGAAAUUGAUUUCACCUCGGAAUAUGGCCGUCUUUAUAAUCUCAGUCCCACCAAACAAGAGCUUCUCCUACAGGACUUCUCUGUCAAGUCACAACUUCGCGUUUCCAUCUUGCAUGCACACUUUUCGUUUAAUUCCAAUCAAGUCUUAUACACUUAAUGCCAAUAAGAGAAAGCCUGAGCGAGUUCUCAAGCCGAACAUAAUUGAAGAAGUAUCAAUGGACAGUGAAGACGAAGAAGACCACCUUUUCUUGAUGACCUUGAAGAUGAGGCAUUGAUGGAUGGUCACAAUGACUAUUUGGAGGAUGAGUACGUGGAAAUGAAGCAGAACUCCAUGUUGGAGAUGGGGGUGGGGGAGCUGGAAUUGCCCUUGCUGGGACAUGGUGGGAACUGGGUUCUGGGAUAAAGAAACAUUAAGAAUAGCUGAAGCUGUUUGCCAAUCUUUUGAUG